UUGAUUUUUGUGUAAUUUUUUUUCUAAAGGCAUCAUACUACCUAACUUCAAGAUAUACUACAAAGCCAUAGUAACCAAAACAGCAUGGUACUGGCAUAAAAACAGACAUAUAGAUUAAU